rnacentral:misc_RNA from 1 species
AACAAUUCCUUGAUGCUUUGAACUUCCAAUCUUCCACCGACGACAACCGGCAAAAGGGAAAAUCUGUCUAUCAGACUUCAGUUAAGCUUGAAAUGGGUCAAUCUUCAUCGGCCGAGCAAGUGUCGCCGGAGCAACGGGAAGCAGAAUCUGUAGCUGCUUCAACUGGAGCUCUUCCUAAUCUUAAGAAAGCUUUCUCUGUUCUUUCUGAUCCUCAAACUCACUCCAUCCCCAUUCAUUCCCUUCAAAAAUGUUUUGGGUUCUCUAUUGAUGGAUCAACAAACGAAGAGUCUGUAGUGCCAAAGGAAUUUCCAGUUUUGAUGAGUAAUUUGAGUUCUUCAAUAGUUGACUUGUUUUUCUUGUCUGAAAAGGGAGGUAUCAGUUGGGUUGAGUUUCUAAAGGGCCAUAUAAAGUGUUCUGGAAGGACAGUUAGUUCAGCUUCACUUAAUAGUUUGUUGAGGUUAUUUGGGAUGGUAUCUGUUAAGGCAGGUCUUCCAGAAAAACUACAGGUCGUUUCCGAUGAGGAUGAUUGUAAAAUCAGCGGAUUUUUAUUGCCAGUUGAUGUUCAGAUGCUUCUUUCUAUGUGUUGGAUUAUGUGGUGGGACUCGAACAAGUUGAAGGCUUCAUCUAGUUUAGGUGAUUCUGGUCUUCCUGAUGUUACACAUUUGGUUUUGUCAGCUAUAAACUCUUGUGCCGAAGCAGAUAAAAAAAUGGAUUUAUGGGAUAACAGCAUUUUAGAUAUGGAUAUACAACUUCCUGUUGCAAAAAUUAUAAUGUGGGCUUUGAAGACAGUGCCAAGCCUCUCCGAUUGCUUUGGAAAAUUUGUCCACGCUAGACUGUUUUACGUAGCCGCUCACGAGGAAAAACUUGACCAAGUGGACCUUUUCUCACAUGAUAUUUCUGCAAAGGAAAGGAGCGUUGGCCAUCUCCUUAAUUCUGGAAGGGCUUGGGCUAUCUCACUUACAUUGAGGGGCAAUUUAAGUGAAGAAAUUUCAAAAGUAUGCUUUCCAAGUGCUGCAGAGGAAGUAGAUGAUUACCUACUUUAUCGGUCUUCCCUUCAUGGAAAAGGUCUGAACAGAUUCUGGUCAAAUAUUGAAGGAUAUAAUGCUCCAUUGCUAAUUCUUAUCUCUGCUCAUGAGGCCAAUAAUGACGCAAGGAGAUGGACUAUUGGUGCUCUCAUUCAUCAGGGUUUAGAAAAUCAUGACACUUUCUAUGGGACUUCUGGUAGUUUAUACUCCAUCAGUCCAGUUUUUCAUGUAUUCACACCUUCAGGAAAGGAGAAAAACUUUGUUUACAGCCACUUGCAUGGAACCGUUAAAUAUGAAGCUCAUCCAAAGCCUGUCGGACUUGCUUUUGGAGGAUCCUCUGGCAAUGAAAGAAUAUUUGUGGAUGAAGAUUUUGCUAAAGUUAUAGUUCGUCAUCAUGCUUGUGACAAAACUUACCAUCAUGGUCCUCUUUACCCUGACCAGGGGUUCUUACCGGUUGAAGCUCUGAUUAUGGACGUGGAGGUAUUGGGAUUGGGAGGAAAAAGGGCUAGAGAUAUUCAGUCAUCGUACAAAAAGAGGGAAGAACUCUUUACUGAGCAAAGACGAAAGGUUGACUUGAAAACAUUUGGAAAUUGGGAAGAUUCCCCCGAGAAAAUGAUGAUGGAUAUGGUUUCUGACCCUAACAGAGUUCGUAGAGAAGAUCGAUGAGUUGAUUCUUCCCUAGAAGAGAUUUCACACGAUCCAGGACUUCUAUCUUAAUGUAUAUAUAAGGAGAUGUUGGAGUUUUAUGUGCUACUACACUUUGAAUAAGAUUUGUAUGUUUGGCUAUAUAAGUCUGUAUUUCACCCACUCUCUGUUAUCUGUUGUGUCAAAAGUAAGUUUAUAUAGUACACAAACAUAAUGCAUAUUAUGUAUAAGAUGUAAACUAGAUUUGAG